rnacentral:rRNA from 1 species
UACGGAGGGGGCUAGCGUUGUUCGGAAUUACUGGGCGUAAAGCGCACGUAGGCGGCUUUGUAAGUUAGAGGUGAAAGCCCGGGGCUCAACUCCGGAAUUGCCUUUAAGACUGCAUCGCUAGAAUUGUGGAGAGGUAAGUGGAAUUCCGAGUGUAGAGGUGAAAUGCGUAGAUAUCUUGAGGAACACCGGUGGCGAAGGCGGCAUCCUGGACCGACACUGACGCUGAGGAGCGAAAGCCAGGGGAGCAAACGGG